GAUGAACGCUGGCGGCGUGCCUAAUACAUGCAAGUCGAGCGAAUUGACAGAGGUGCUUGCACCUCUCGAUUUUAGCGGCGGACGGGUGAGUAACACGUGGGUAACCUACCUAUAAGACUGGGAUAACUUCGGGAAACCGGAGCUAAUACCGGAUAAUAUUUAGCUUCGCAUGAAGCAAUAGUGAAAGGCGGUUCUGCUGUCACUUAUAGAUGGACCUGCGGUGUAUUAGCUAGUUGGUGAGGUAACGGCUCACCAAGGCAACGAUACAUAGCCGACCUUAGAGGAUGAUCGGCCACACUGGGACUGAGACACGGCCCAGACUCCUACGGGAGGCAGCAGUAGGGAAUCUUCCGCAAUGGACGAAAGUCUGACGGAGCAACGCCGCGUGAGUGAAGAAGGUUUUCGGAUCGUAAAACUCUGUUGUAAGGGAAGAACAAGUACGUUAGUAACUGAACGUACCUUGACGGUACCUUACCAGAAAGCCACGGCUAACUACGUGCCAGCCGCCGCAGUAAGAC
rnacentral:rRNA from 1 species